AGAACGAACGCUGGCGGCAGGCCUAAUACAUGCAAGUCGAACGCCGUAGCAAUACGGAGUGGCAGACGGGUGAGUAACACGUGGGAACGUGCCCAAAGGUACGGAACAACUCCGGGAAACUGGAGCUAAUACCGUAUGUGCCCGAGAGGGGAAAGAUUUAUCGCCUUUGGAUCGGCCCGCGUCUGAUUAGCUAGUUGGCGGGGUAAUGGCCCACCAAGGCGACGAUCAGUAGCUGGUCUGAGAGGAUGACCAGCCACACUGGGACUGAGACACGGCCCAGACUCCUACGGGAGGCAGCAGUAGGGAAUAUUGGACAAUGGGCGAAAGCCUGAUCCAGCCAUGCCGCGUGAGUGAUGAAGGCCUUAGGGUUGUAAAGCUCUUUCGCCAGGGACGAUAAUGACGGUACCUGGAUAAGAAGCCCCGGCUAACUUCGUGCCAGCAGCCGC
rnacentral:rRNA from 1 species